CAACGGCUAUAGAACAGGAAAGCUGCUUCUUGUUGUUGUUUUUGUCCAUGAGAGCCGUCAGGGAGCAGCGAGGAAGGACUGCUUGUAAUAUGUUUAAACGUCCCUAAAUCCCACUUCACUACCUCAAGGAAAUUCUUUUUUAAAUUCGUAUAAUCACAGAAUCAUUUUGGUUGGAAGAGACCCUAAAGAUCAUCGAGUCCAACCAUAAACUUACUGUAGCACUAAUCGUGUCCCUAAGAUCCUCAUCUACAUGUCUUUUAAACACUUCCAGGGAUGGUGUCUCCACCACUGCCCUGGGCAGCCUGUUCCAGUGCUUCACAACUCUUUCCUUGAAUUAAUUUUUCCUAAUAUCCAGUCUGAAUCUCCCCUGGUGCAACUUGAGGCCAUUUCUUCUUGUCCUAUCACUUGUUACUUGGGAGAAGUACUAAUUUACUAAUGGCCUGUAGCUAAUUGCCUCUGCAGUGAUAACACACUGUUACCGCUUUUAAAGGCUGUGUGCUUAAAGGCAGCUUGAAAGCCAGGUGUAAAUGUUGUUUAAACAACCACUCAGGACACCCCACGGAACCCCGUCGGUGCCCGGGGCCGCCGUGUCCGCAUCCCCGGUGCCGCCCGCACCUUCGCUCUGGGAGGGAGCUUAGUCAGGAGCAUCGGCAUUGCUGUGGGUGUGUCUGCAGAGUCCUAAGCUGAAGAACAGAGAAGAUACUUGGUGAACUAAAGUCGGCUGCAAGGUAUCAGUUCAAGGACAGCUUUAUGCACUUAAAAGGCUGAACACAACUAGGACGACUUGUGUGAAAGAGAAGGAACGGAAAACGCGAGAUCCAGAAGAGAUGAAGCCUGAGAUGAAUUCUCAUAAGCUCCAUGAAAAUCUUCAGCUUCACUCUCGGAGUUCAUCUGAUCAAAGUUUGUGGCUUCUGCUCGACCGCCCAGCCCUGGGCUCUCUGUGCCGUAGGAUGGCAGGGCAGCCACAUCUCGGUCCUUGGCUCCUGUUUGGAUGUUCCUAGGGAAGUGGGUUGUGAGUGGAAGAUUUUUCACCUGUAGACCAGUACUCAUUAAAAGCCUUCUGCUUGCUUGUGCAUUUUUAAAUAAGGAUACAAAUGCAGGAAGAAACGUCUAUUCCAGUGGAUACAGUGUAAUAAAGGAGUGAUUGGUUGCUAAGGCCGCUGUCCCCUUGUGAACUCCUCACCUGUUGAACCUUUGUGGCAGUAUUGCUUUGUGUUUGCAGCCUGCCAGGAACCAGAUAUGAGUGGUCAUGUCUUGGCAGGUCCCUGAUCCAGCCCUUGGAGGACAGCGAGGUCCCUCCCGGUGUGGCUCGGGGGCCGCCUAGCGGGGUGCAGACUGGUGGCCCUGCUGCCACAGCCGGGCUCUUCGUCCAGCGGCUGGGGACUGCUUGCAAACUAGCGCUUAGAGUGAAUUAAUUUUAUCCCUCAUAUUACAUGCCUCUUCCAAGCACAGCUGUUUCUCAGGGCUGGAAAAUCCUGGCUUUCCCUCCCCUUAUUUGGAUAACAGCUGAAAUGCCGACAGAUAUUGGACACUUGAAUAAAACUGGAGUUCCUAGAACCAAGUGACUAAAUUCCCUUUUUAAGCACCGACAUGAAAAGAUGCCUAGAGCUUAUUUUAAGAGAUGUUAAGCUUCCACUUGAAAUCAUAAGGCUCCAUACUUGUUAAAGUAAGUAGAUUCAUGUCAAAUGGAGAUCCUGGUUAUUUGCUUCCUUUCUUUCCUAUAAAAAAAGCCCCAAACCCUGCCCCACUUCUUUGCAUGCCAGAGCAUUACAGGAAUGUGGAAGGAUUUUGAGCCCAGACUGCCUGAAACAUGAGGACUGCAGAUCCUGGGGAGUGUAAAUGCACGAAGACUUGGGUGCCCGCGACUGUAACCUGCAGAGUAUGUGCAGAUGUGAAUAAAGGCAACGAUAUUUGUGGAGUCCCUGGUCAUCCUGAUCCAGCCACCUGCUGCCUGUGCUGCAAGUACCUGUGCUGAAAGUUCAUGUUGCACAGGCACAUCCCAGUAGUUUGGUGGAGGUUUGGGCUCCUUUGUGUGGACCCUAAGGAGAAGUGUUUAGUGCUGUGGAAAGAACAGCAUUUCAAGAACCUGAAAACUGCUAUUUCUGCAGUUAGGAUGCUAUAUAUGAACAAAGCUAGGCCAAGUUGUUUCCUGAAAGCUCUGGGGAAACACCCACAGGCCUGCUGUCUUAUGGAUUACCCCUUCCAGAGAGCUCUGUGUUGUCAAUGCUUGGACCAAGAGCCAGUGCACUGGGGCAGUGCUGAGUUGCUCAGGUACAAAUCUGUGAGCUGUCUGGCCCAUCUGUUCCCCUCCUUGUAGCCCGCCAGUGGCUCCUCCUGCCUGCACCAGCCCUGCUCUAUGGUGAGAGGGGGAUGAACCCAGUUCCAGCUCUCCCUUUCACUGCUGACUGCUGGAGGAUGCUUCCCCAUCCUGCCACUGAUACCCGUAGUGAAUAAUGAAGCAGAGCCUCAGCCUUAACACAGAAGACAACCCACCGUCUUUUUUUAAAGUAGAAAAUACCACAGUAUGCUAUUCAGUCAGCAAGUAAGCUAAGCUUUCCACCCUAGAAUACAAUGGUGAUCCUCUGUGAGUCAUAAGGAAAAUUAAGUUAACGGGCCCAAAGAAGAGAGAGAUCAGUCUCGCCAGCUCGAUACUUGAUGUGGGGCACACCUUCCAAGGAGGUGGAUGUGUCAUUCCAGCGGGUUUAGGAGAAGAUGGGAAUUGUGUGGUCAGUGCAUAUAACUGCGUAUGACUCUCAGCAUUGCUAUCCAGUGCUGCAGCUGUGAUUUGCUGUUUCUGCUGCCUGUGGCUGUACUGUUAUAUUUGCACUUUCUGGAGAACACAGCAGGGUCUCAUCUCCGUUGUCUCCAAACCAGACCUGUUACAUGUGUCUCAUCUUCUUUGUGAAGAAGGCAUUUUUGUGAACAGCACUCUAUAAAUUGUGACUGCUGUAGCAUCAAGCUGUUCUAGUAACUACGGAAGUGUAAAAAAAGCAUCUUCUGUCCCAGAGCCUCUUGCUUUUACUUAGCUGAUUUAUAUUUUUUUCAAUAGGAGUAAAGAGAAAGUAUAUCCUCAGGUGGGAACAUAUUGAAAUGGGGUGUUUUUAGACUGAUAGCUGUAAAGUUUUGAUCAGAAGCAAAUGGGAAUCUGAGGUAGCUUUCCCAGAGCCUGCAUAAUAGUUUUCUCCAGUGCUAUACAAAGCAGCAUGUGCCUGCUGUAACUUCUGCCUUGUCUUGUAACCCAAGUGUGCCCUGGGUGGUCAUCCCACAGCAUGUCCUGACGGGUGGUCUGGUGCUUCUGCCAUAUAGCCCUGAUAUCACCAAAGCUGGUGAAUCCAGAGAUGACCUGAAGCUCCUGAGCCCUCCUACCCUUUUGUCUCACUGCACGUGAGGCCCCUGGCUGUGGAAUGGAGAGAGCUGCAGUGACCAUGGAGGUGAGUGACAGUGUUUCAUGCACCUUGGCUGAUUUCUAGUGCCACAAGAGCUGCUUCAACCUGUGCUCCAGGCAGGGAAGCUUGUGCACAGGAGUAGCAGCACAUAACCCUCCAGUCUACCCAUUGCUGCACCUUGCAUAUGUACCCAUGGUGAAUUCUGGCCUAAAAAUCUUGUUCUGGUUCAGCUCUGCCAGUCCUGCUUGUGCUGGGCACAUGUGGGUACAGAGCUGCUGCUGGGGACUCGCCACUGCCUGGUCCAUCCCCACUCCAGCCAGCUGAGCCACCAACACCCAGGACGGGCAGUGCCAACCUUCCGUGAGUGGAGCAAAGUCAGUGGGUGAGAUUUAAACUUCUACAGUUAAACAAGAAACCCAGGAUCCCCCUGGAGACUGUUUGCUUGAGGGGAGUGUUAUUUAAAACUGUCUAAUCUCAGGUUUCCCUGAUGUGCCAGAAGAUGGUUUUAGCUCACUUGUCUCCUGACAGAGGCGUGUCCAAGCUGUCCCGUGUCACCAUGUCAGUGGCUCUGACCUGAGGCACCUUCCCUGGGGCAGCGCGCCAGGGCUGUGUGGUUUCCCUGGAAGCUGUGGGGUUUGCAGUGGGCAUGUGGACUGCUGGGACCAGUCGUGGUCACCAGAGCUGGGUGACGCUGCCUCCAUCCACACUGCUGUGUGCCGUGCCGGGGAACUGGGAGGAGAGCAUCCCAAGGAUGGGGCCUUUGGCCACCUCAUCUUUGGCCACCUCCUGGUCACACUGGGACAGGGCUUGUCACUCUGCUGUCAUCUGAGGAGCAGAAUUAUCUCAAGUGACUCAACAAUGAUACUAGAGUAGGAUCUUAGGCUGUGGGGUGUGUCAGAAGCUGGGGAUGCAGCUGGCACUGAUGCCAACACAAGGAGGGGAUUUUCAGUCAUUUUGGCCUUCCUGCAAAGGCUGGAGGCAACUGUGUAGUGGUGCAGAGCUGGGGUCUCUUAAAUACUUGCUCUCAGUUCCGAAUCUAGGCUAGGUCCAGUCUCUGAUCUCUUCCGCAGAGAAGCUAGAGCAGCUGUUGACAUCUGGAAGAGAGUCUGAGUCCACACCAACAGCUCUGUGGUUCCACCAGUGGGGCUCAUGAUGCUUAUCCAAAACUGCUGGAACUCAGACUGCAUUAUACCUGCUGCGAUAUUGCCAUGAAGCUCAAAACAGGGAUUUGUUGCACUGUAAAAAACCUAUUCCAGCUCAGAGCUUCUACGCAGAGUAUAAAUCAUGUGUGCAGAGUGCAUAUAAUCAGAGUAUUGCCAAACACUGUAGUUUAGAUGCAUGUUUGGAGAACUAGGGUGUGGACUAUGAAGCAGUUAAAAGUGCCAGUUCCCAAGCCCAUCAUUAUUCAUGUUGCCUAAAUUAAGCAACUACUAUAUAGUCAAACGAAACUUUAAUGGGGAAAUUAUUUUACAAAAUGCAAGUAAUUUCAUUGAAAAUUGAGCUGGCAAAAAGUGCUACAUAAAAUUAAAUAACUUGCACAGAUGUUUCUUGAAUGAAAAAUAAAUGCACACCUGGUCUAAUGGCUGUUUUUUCCCUCUAGGGAGCAUCAAGACUGGACUGUCUAAGCUCUCACAAACACCUCUUAUGACAGUGAUAUGUGCCAUAUCCUGUGUUCAAGGAGGAGAAAACGUUAGUUUAAAUGCAUAGUCAUGGCAUUCGGGCUUCUACAAAGUACCGUGUGCCUGGUUUAUGCUGAGCAGUGAGCUCUUAAUUGUUGGGGAGACCACACGCAGGCUGUACAGCCCCAAACACUCCAGGAAAUACGAUCGGUCUAAUUUUAGCUACAUGGACAGCAUUUGAUAUGGAAGCAGCUGGUGUCAUACAAAUCUGUGGGCUUGUCAAGCAACCCCAGUGCAUUGCUAAAGCAAAUCUGUUCAUUUCCACUCAAAGGCAAUCUAGAAAGCCAGGCCUGGUUUUAGCUUGCACUUGACUCAAUAUAAAUCAAAGCUGUAGCUUUGUCACCAUAGAUGUGCAGUGCCCAAACUCUUAGAUUUUAAUGCCAUUUCAUUAGAAAAGUGAGACAGGAGUUAUUUUUCUCAUGCUAGCACAUACCUCUUCCUGUUUACAAUGGGUGGAAAUGUUUUCUGGACAUGCUCACUCUGUUCCCCUCUUGUGAAAAGGUUUUCUAAUGUAAAAAGUUUAUGUAAUGAAAGCCAGUGGUGGUGUGAGCCUAAGCUGCUGGCAGUCUCUUGAUCUGCUAGAUAUCAUGCUAAUUGCUCAAGAGUAUAUCUGGGCAGUGAUCUCAGUUGGUGCUCGGAUUGCCGUCUUUUUGGCAGCUGAGACACAAACUUCCUAGGUAGAAAAGCCCUAAAAAUACAGCAGGGCUUGGAUUUUCUGUCUAUUAGAGGGUGACAGAGAAAGCAUGUCUGUUAAACCCCUCCUCAAGUGGCCCAUGAGCAAGCUAUAAUGCUUAAUUACUGGAAAUUCUGAAGAAAACAAAAAUGGCAAGUCUAGUGCGUACCCAGCUGCUCUGGAAACUCUUCUUGCACCAACAUUCAGCACUGAAUGCGGCAGCAUCCGAAUGGCCAUGAACCAGUCAGUGCUGCAACCAGAGCUGCCAGCAGCCCCAGCAGCGCGAGGGGAUGUCCCUCAACAGCCGCAGCCUUUGGAAAUUAGGAAAUGAUAAUGCAAAGGCAUGUGUGUAGUGCAAGGCACAGGAGAGCGAGGGCUUUGUCUCUGCCUGCCCUCCCUGCCAAAAAAAUAAAUAAAUAGUUCUGUUUAGA